rnacentral:rRNA from 1 species
GACGAACGCUGGCGGCGUGCUUAACACAUGCAAGUCGAACGGAAAGGCCCUUCGGGGUACUCGAGUGGCGAACGGGUGAGUAACACGUGGGUGAUCUGCCCUGCACUUUGGGAUAAGCCUGGGAAACUGGGGCUAAUACCGUAUAGGACCGCGCGCUUCAUGGUGUGUGGUGGAAAGCUUUUGCGGGGUGUGUUGGGCCCGCGGCUUAUCAGCUUGUUGGUGGGGGAAUGGCCUACCAAGGCGACGACGGAUAGCCGGCCGGGGAGGGGGACCGGCCACAAUGGGACUACGAGACGCACCAGUCUGGUACGGGAGGCAGCAGUGGGGAACAUUACACAGUGGGCGCAAGCCUGAGGCAGAGACGCCGCGUGAGUGAUGACGGCCUUCGGGUUGUGAACCUCUUUCACCAGGGACGAAGCGGAAGUGACGGUACCUGGAGAAGAAGCACCGGCCAACUACGUG